rnacentral:rRNA from 1 species
GACGAACGCUGGCGGCGUGCUUAACACAUGCAAGUCGAACGGACAGGCCUAGCUUGCUGGGUACUCGAGUGGCGAACGGGUGAGUAACACGUGGGUGAUCUGCCCCUGACUUUGGGAUAAGCCUGGGAAACUGGGUCUAAUACCGGAUAUUCAUUUUUCCUCGCAUGGGGCUUUGUGGAAAGCUUUUGCGGUUGGGGAUGGGCCCGCGCCCUAUCAGCUUGUUGGUGGGGUAAUGGCCUACCAAGGCAACGCCGGGUAGCCGACCUGAGAGGGUGAUCGGCUACACUACGACUGAGACACGGCCCAGACUCCAACGGUACGCAACGGUGGAGAAUAGAGCACAAUGGGAGCAAGCCUGAUGCAGCGACGCCGCGUGAGGUAAGACAGCCAUCGGGUUGUAAACCUCUUUUAUCUCCGACGAAGCGAAAGUGACGGUAGGCGCAGAAGAAGCACCGGCUAACUACGUG